rnacentral:pre_miRNA from 1 species
CAUAAAGUAGAAAGCACUACUAAACGUCUUUACACAGUGUAGUGUUUCCUACUUUAUGGA